GUAUAAUGGCAGAUAAAAGAACAUUUUAAAACUAAAGGAAAAAUUGGAGAAAGACCAAUCAACUAUGUAAAGAGUGUUAAUUUUAGCAGCAUUGGAAGGAAUCUGAAUGCAACUUCUGUGUUCAUAACUUACCUGUUUGGGAUGCCACAAACACAGCAACCAGCUGACCUGUGUAGAAUCGAGCGGACGGUAAACAACUUAAUAUAAAAUAUCAUAUAACAAGUUUGGAAUGUCAGACUUUUAAAAAACAAUAAAGACAAAUGAACUUUGUCCUUAUGUCAAAUGUCAGUAUCAGUAUGGGUUGGGCUCUAAUUUUUUAACUUGAUGUUUAUGAUUCUGGAUUUUCCUGACCAAUCUUGCAUCACUUUGUUUUCCACAAAUUACACAGCACAUUUAUAUACAGACUUUAAACACCAAAAAUCCAACCAUUAAGACCCAAUAUGUGAUUUUAAGCAAUCUGAUUAUAUAUUUUGAGCAGCACUGGUUACUGGUUGUGUGGAUGUCAGGGGGGAUUUCACAGUGAAAAUAUAAAAAGGAUCAAGACUGGUGAUUGUUUGGAUAUGGUCUGGAUUUUUGUGAUGAUUGUAUUUUGGGUCACUGCAUUAGUUUUAUUAUUAUAUUGCUGCUUUUCUUUCUUUAAGGUUUAUUUGUAUUUCUGUUAGUUCCUGUUUUGGACUUUGAAUUCAAGCUGAUUAUGAAAAAUGUUUUUUAUUUUUUUCUUUCUGUCUGUAGUCAGGUGUUGGGGUCCUGAAAACUGUGACUGGCAGACACACACACAAGCCGGUACAUGUGAAUGUCCACUGUAUCUACAUUGUACACUAAAUAAAUAAAUGUUUAAAUACUGACAUUCAAUGUUGAGCUAACCGUUUCUGUACUCCUUCCUUUACUCCACUGCAUUUGUCUGACAGCCACUUAUUAAAUUUUGAGAUUACAGUGAAAAACUGUGGAUCUCUGGAUUCUGUGAUUUUUAAUUUGAUAUUUUCUGCUAAACUGAAUGAGGACGUGUUCCUUUAUGGGUUGAGAGCCUUCUCCUUCUGAUAUAUAAAGAGUUAAAAACGGUCUUGGCUGUAACAAGCUAUGUUCAAAGGUAAACAGGGCUGUUUUCUGAGUCCAUAAAAAAGGCUGACUUUUAAGAGCUACCUUAAAAGUCAGCCUUUGACAGGCUUUGACAGGUCAGGGACGCUAUAAACGCAACACUCAUAUAUAUUAUGAUGUGUUGAUGUAUAUUAAACUGUAC
ensembl:lncRNA